AUGCCUGCCCCCAUGAAUUAGCUGUGACUUAAGCGCUUCUCAGCCAAGAUGGUGACAAGGACAGACUGAGCUGGUAGGGAAUUCAUAGGAGACAAGGAUGACUGGGCACUAGAGGGACUAUGCCACGUCACAGAGCCAGAGCUUACAAGGUCUGAAAGGUACCAAGGCCAGUCUGGCCUCUGUGACCGCAUGGGAAAGGCUUAGCCCUGAGAUGGCACGAGGAACCGAACUCUUCUGCAAGUCAGCUCUUCAGUCCUGUGCCUUCGAGGUAGGAGGCACAGGAUGGUAGAUCUUGAUAAUACGCUCAAUCACGUCUUCAUUAAGAUGGCCACCCCAUGAGAAACCUUGGCCUGGGGCAAGAUGGACCCAGAUUCCUGACCCUCAGAAACGGGAGGGGAUUGUUGGCUACGUAAAGAAGCGAUGAAACCAUUGGUUUACCUCCACUGUGUCUGCACCAAAAAACCACCAACUUCCACGCUGUGAACGGGGAAAAGAUGGAUGGAUAACUAAGGAGCAUCAGCAAACAUGCCACUUGCCCUUUGCAGCUAGUCCCUGCCAUCGCUGGACUUCACAGCACUAGGUGGAAGCUACGUAGCCAGUGGUCUGCAGGGAAAGUCACGUGGGGAAAAGCAUUUACAACAAAGCUUGAAAAAGGAAGGGAGAAAAUCUUAGGGAAGGUUUAAAAGAUGAAGGAGGAAAAUCUGAGUCUGUCCAAAUGUGAGGCCAUAAAAAGCAUUUGAAGCCAUCAGCUGAUAUCUUGGAGGCGAUCCCAGGGUAAACAAAACCUGCCUGAGGAGUCUGGACAAUGUAAUGUUCAUCCUGAUUUGAUGAAGGUGCUGAAGUCCUUCCAGCUGAUCCAAACAAAACCCUUUGAAGAUAGCCAAGGCUGCAGACACAUGCUUCCUCGGAGCAGGCAGUGGGGCGAGGCUGCCAUCGGGCUGAGUAAACAUGGUCUGCAGGUUGGUGGGAGGGGUGGGGACGGGGGCUGUUCUUUGAAGUCAGGGACUUCAUGGUCAUCCUGAAAUCAGAAGGUAUGUCCUUUGAAUUUAACAAACGGAACAUUCAUUCAGUGAGUCCUGUCUAAGUGCCAAGCAUGCUAGAUAAGACAAAGAUGUUCCCUGAAACAAACCAGACAGGAGAUGUCCGCCUAGUGGGGAAGACAGACAUUUAUACACGAAUAGCAAUAAGUGUGGUGUUCUCUUUCACAGGAGAGGGGCAAGUCCGGAACAGAGUUCCAGUGUAGCAGAGAGGAACACCUUCCCAGGGAAUGAAACCUUUAAGUUUACACCUGAAAGAUGAGCUAGUCCAGCAAAGAGCAGAGAGAGGAGGGAGGGAACGAUGCCAGGAGACCAGCCCGGGUCAAGCCUGGAAUCAUGGGCGUGCCGGCAGGUUGGAAGAGCUGACAGAAGUGCAGAGUCAGAUGAAAGGCACUGGGGUUAUUCAUACUGGAAAGGGAGAAGCUAAAAGUGGAAUGGGAGUUUUCAGUUAUAGUAAGUUGUUUAUCCAGAGAGCCAUGGCCUCCUCCGCUGAGGCUGGCUUGGAGGAAAGGGGUUUCGGGGCUCCCGUCAGAGUAACUCCAGACUCAGGGAUGGACGAGCCCCUGGGUGAGGGUCCGAAGGUAUGAAAGCCUGGUCGCCAGGAAGACAGGUGUGGUCGCCAGAAUCUGCUUCUGUGUGGGGUUGGGUGGGCUAUGGCCCUUGGGGGUUGAGAUCACCCCAAGUGGUAUGCUUUAUAAGAAGCCAAGGGUUGCUAAACUGCCUCUGAGAAGGGAGAGCCAGUCACCUGUAGGGCUUUGGUUUUGCCAAGAGGGGUAUGCCACUGGGGCUGGACUUGCUGAGUUUGGGGUCACAGGGGCCGUGACUGAGCAGCUGCCAGUGACCCUGCCUCUCCAGCACCCCCCUGCCCCUUCCCCCAGUGCUCCGAUCCCAAUAUUAAUAUUUCCAAUAUUGAAAGAACAUCACUUUGAAGAGCGCCAAAUUAUUAGCCUUCCGAGGGUGCUCACAAGUCUCAGUUUGGCUCUGUCCAUGAGAAAAGAAAAGGAUCCUGCCUGCCCCUCUCCUCCUCUUUUACCUGCCUCCUAACAUGGUUCUAAAGACAGAGGAUAAAGCAAGGACCACUUGAAAUUCACCACCUAGAAACGGGAGGACUGGCAGCUUCAGCUGAGAUGAUGGUUCAGGUCCAAAGGCUGGCUUUGCCUUGCACGAACCUCAGCUAGAGCUACUGUUCCACCCCACUCCCCCCUCUCCGCCCCCAUGACAGGGCCAGGGAAAUUGGAGGGGGGAGGAAGUGGGACCAGACCAGGCCACUCAAAAAAGAGCCAUAGGAACCAAUAAAUAUAUGAGAAAGUGCAAUCUCCUGGCACUGAAAGAAAGACAAAACAAUGCACCAUUCUAAAGCCUGUCAAAGCAGCGAGGAUUUUGAAAUCAUACGGUACUAAGUACUAGGAAAAGGUCAAGCUCUAGUCACUACUGGUGUUCUGUGUAAAACAUCAGUGACAAAGGAAAAGAGGGUGAUGGCACCUCUGCUCACUCCACCCUGCCAUCCUGUCUCAAAAGUGCCCUUCCUCCUCAUCUGGGAUGGACUAAGUACACCCUGACUCGGCUCUGCGUGGUGACGGGGUGGCUAUGCCCUGGGGUGGUCAGUGCGAUGACUUGACCUGAAAGCUCGCAGCAGCCCUGCCCUCCUUCAGCAUCAGACCAGACCCUGCCUUCAGCCCCCCACCGCUGUAUAAGAAGCAGAGAUUGACCUCUCACGAACAUCUUUCCGUCCCAGCCCGUAAGAGGAGUUGGGAGCAUAAUUUACUAUGGCUCAGCCACUUAACUUUUAACUCAAGGCAACAAUGUUUAAUUAACUACAGAAAUCAAAGCAUGUCUCUAACCAGGUCCUGCUGACCAACACAGAGCUCUCUAUGUAACAGUUUAAACCAAAAUAUACCAUCUGAACCACAGUCAUUAUUUGCAUUCCUCUUUUUAAGGCGAGAUCCUCAUAAAGCAAUAUUCCUCAUAAGAAAGUCCACAUAAACAGGCUAACCUCUGCAUUACCUUCUUUCAUCCCAAACCCCAAAGAGAAAUCAUUACAAACAGAACUUUACAGAGUAUCUGUUUCCCAAGUGUUUGUUAUACUUCAUCUCAGAGCCCUAAACACAGAGAAGGAAUGGGGUUCUACCAACAUUAUUUAAAAGACAGUAUUCAGGGUUGCUAGUGAGAACCACAUCCCCUUCCAGCAUUCAGCAAGAUGGCAACUGACUGUAACUAGAGACCAGUUGAUGCAGAAACUAGUGCUGGUCACAGAACAAGACAGGAUGUUAAAUUCCACGGUCCAGCCAGCACCCUCAUCAGAAGCUUCAGGGUGUUUUGAGAACCCACCUGUUGGUCUCCUCUCCUCCUCUGGGCACUGUGCUGUGGGUUCUGUCUGUGCAUUCACUGGGAAGACGGUCACCAGCCGCAGAGACCUGCGUGGGGGAAGGCGAUUUUCCUGCAAAAUAUAUGAAAAAACAUUAAUAAACUUCCUCUCCAGGCUGAGGAAUUCCAA
ensembl:lncRNA